rnacentral:rRNA from 1 species
AUUGAACGCUGGCGGCAGGCCUAACACAUGCAAGUCGAAUGGUAACAGGAAACAGCUUGCUUUUUCGCUGACGAGUGGCGGACGGGUGAGUAAUGUCUGGGAAACUGCCUGAUGUAGGGGGAUAACUACUGGAAACGGUAGCUAAUACCGCAUAACGUCCCAAGACCAAAGAGGGGGACCUUCUCGCCCCUUGCCAUCAGAUGUGCCCAGAUGGGAUUAGCUAGUAGGUGGGGUAACGGCUCACCUAGGCGACGAUCCCUAGCUGGUCUGAGAGGAUGACCAGCCACACUGGAACUGAGACACGGUCCAGACUCCUACGGGAGGCAGCAGUGGGGAAUAUUGGACAAUGGGCGCAAGCCUGAUGCAGCCAUGCCGCGUGUAUGAAGAAGGCCUUCGGGUUGUAAAGUACUUUCAGCGGGGAGGAAGGGAAGAAAGUUAAUACCUUUGCGUAUUGACGUUACCCGAAGAAGAAGCACCGGCUAACUCCGUG